UACAGAGGUGCCAAGCGUUAGGCGGAAUCACUGGGCUUAAAGCGCGUGUAGGUGGACGGGUAAGUAUCUUGUGAAAGUCCCCACGGCUCAACCCGGUGGAACUGCUGGAUAUACUGCUUGUCGUUGAGGCACUUAGGGGCAGCUGGAACAAAUGGUGGAGACGGUGAAAUGCGUAGAUAUCAUUUGGAACGCCAAAGGCGAAAGCAGGCUGCUGGGAGUGAUCUGACACUGAGACGCGAAAGCCAGGGGAGCAAAACGGG
rnacentral:rRNA from 1 species